rnacentral:lncRNA from 1 species
AUGCCAUCAAAGUUGAAACAAAAGUUUGUUUGCCAAACAAGUAAUUACUUGGCUUGCACGGAAGUCAUGAGAUUAUCAGGACAUUUUUUUCCCCCUCUGGGAAAGAGACCUGUGAUCAAACAAAGCGAAAUAAAACAGUUCAGACCCCAAGCAUUCAGAGCAACUGAGCAUGUCCUUCCGAAUCAUCCUGAUGUCCUUUUCCCCUUUCUCCCAUUUGCUUCAGCAUUUCUACACAACAUCAUGAGGGCAGAAGCCUCGUUGUUUAUGCUACAUAAUGCAAUCUCCUUCUUGGACGCGUGCACAAGUUUGUGCUUCUUGGGUGGUGGGUGUUCACAGGGGGUGUGUCCCCACCCCCAGACUUCUCUGAACUCAAGUCGAACCAUAAUCCCCACAACCACUGGGAUGCCCUGCAUUGCAUCAGCAGGAGGUGUUUUUCUUGCUGUUAUUAUUGGUUGGAAAGUGUGA